rnacentral:rRNA from 1 species
UACGUAGGGGGCAAGCGUUGUCCGGAUUUAUUGGGCGUAAAGAGCUCGUAGGCGGCUUGUUGCGUCGUCCGUGAAAACCUGGGGCUCAACUCCAGGCUUGCGGUCGAUACGGGCAGGCUAGAGUUCGGUAGGGGAGACUGGGAAUUCCUGGUGUAGCGGUGAAAUGCGUAGAUAUCAAGUGGAACACCAGUGGCGAAGGCGAGUCUCUGGACAUUUCCUGACGCUGAGGCACGAAAGCCAGGGGAGCAAACGGG